GGAACUGGUUUUGGGCAGAAAAGCCAUGCUCCCUUUGGUCACAAAGGACUACAAUCUAUCUUUUGAACCACUGGACCAAUUUGGAUGAUUUUGACAUAUGUUUGUAUUUGGAGUAUGCUGAUUCUGAAAAUGUAAGUUAUGUGAAUGUGAUGCAAACUUUUCAAGUUAUGAAUAAUGUGGAAAAAUUGUAUUUCUCUGCUUGUGAUAAU